UGCUGUGAUGGUGUAAUUUGCGUCUUACUCUGUGAUCAGCGACAGUGGCCUGCUGUCACAUACUGGCACAGAAGACUGACGAAUACAGAGUCUGAGCA